GAAUACACACCAAAAGGUUAUCUGGAACCAAGCUAAUCUUUUAUGACCUUAGAGCUGAAUCUGUGAAAAUACAAAUCAUGGCCAAUGCAAAGUACUAUGAAAGCCAAGAAUCUUUUGAGAAAAUGGAGAAAAAAAUUAAAAGAGGGGAUAUUGUGGGAGUGUCAGGCAGACCAGCUAAAACAAAGAAAGGGGAAUUAAGCAUUGUGCCUGUGUCAGUGACUCUACUCUCCCCUUGUUUGAGAAAUUUGCCUCAUCUCUACUAUGGUGUGAAAGAAAAGGUAGGCCUACAUUGAAA
rnacentral:sRNA from 1 species